UACAGAGGGGGCGAGCGUUGUUCGGAAUUACUGGGCGUAAAGGGCGCGUAGGCGGCCCGCUAAGUCGAAGGUGAAAUCCCCAGGCUCAACCUGGGAACUGCGUCCGAUACUGGCAGGCUUGAAUCCGGGAGAGGGAUGUGGAAUUCCAGGUGUAGCGGUGAAAUGCGUAGAUAUCUGGAGGAACACCGGUGGCGAAGGCGGCAUCCUGGACCGGUAUUGACGCUGAGGCGCGAAAGCUAGGGGAGCAAACGGG
rnacentral:rRNA from 1 species